rnacentral:rRNA from 1 species
GGUUAAGCGACUAAGCGUACACGGUGGAUGCCCUGGCAGUCAGAGGCGAUGAAGGGCGUGCUAAUCUGCGAUAAGCGCCGGUAAGGUGAUAUGAACCGUUAUAACCGGCGAUACCCGAAUGGGGAAACCCAGUGUGACUCGUCACACUAUCAUUAACUGAAUCCAUAGGUUAAUGAGGCGAACCGGGGGAACUGAAACAUCUAAGUACCCCGAGGAAAAGAAAUCAACCGAGAUUCCCCCAGUAGCGGCGAGCGAACGGGGAGGAGCCCAGAGCCUGAAUCAGCAUGUGUGUUAGUGGAAGCGUCUGGAAAGGCGCGCGAUACAGGGUGACAGCCCCGUACACAAAAGCGCAUGUGCUGUGAGCUCGAUGAGUAGGGCGGGACACGUGGUAUCCUGUCUGAAUAUGGGGGGACCAUCCUCCAAGGCUAAAUACUCCUGACUGACCGAUAGUGAACCAGUACCGUGAGGGAAAGGCGAAAAGAACCCCGGCGAGGGGAGUGAAAAAGAACCUGAAACCGUGUACGUACAAGCAGUGGGAGCCCCACCACCAAAGCAUUCUCUGGUGUUGAAGGCCCUGCAAAGCAGCAUCGCGGUGGCGGAGCGUCGUUUGCGACGCCCAACACACAAAACAAGCGGUGAAUGCUUUG